UUAAGUAAUUCACAUAAUUUAUUGCAUUAAUUAUUAAUUUAUGGUCUUAAUAAAUAUAAAAACUGACUUUAAUAUAUUUUAAUGGUUUGCUGGUUUUUAUUUUGUAAACUAGACUCGUUCUCCGUAAAUUUGCAAAAGAAAAAUGAAGGAGUAAACGAACGAGAGGCACGGAGUUCCGCCAUCAAAGUAAAGUGGCGCAGUAAAUAAUAGUCAAAAGCGUCGUGCCGAUUCAAUUCUGGGCAAAUUAUACGCUCGCAGAAAGCCGAGUUGUGAUCUGCGGGCCAAAAGUUUAUUGCUGUGCCUUGUAUUGCUCGCAGCGGCGAAACGAGAUGCAAAGCAGCAGGCCUCUUGGCGGCGAGCGAGAAAAUUUGGCCGAAAACACGGAUUAUUAAAAGCAGUCGCUCGACACGGACCGUUUCGCCUGGAACCAAAAAGUCAGCGACUGAUCGCCACUCCUUAGCUGCGUUGAUUUGCGAGAUGCUUUUAUUGAUUCAUAGUUUGCGAUACACUGCUAUUAGCAUUCCCAAGAUCAAAUCAAUCGAAAUAUUCUCGUUAUGAAAAACCACAAAGGGAAAAUUAAAAAAAACACACACACAAUUUGUCAAUUAAUGAUGUCACGUUUGUUCUGCCUCGCAAGAUUAUAUUGUUUGUAGAAAUACAAUUUGGCUUUUUCAGUGUAUUUUGUUCUUAUCACUUGCAAGUCAACUAUAAAAGAGCAAAAUUUACUGAUGCAAACUUGCCAUUCAGUCGAAACCUUGUUCUGACAUAGAAAAGGAUGCGUUCCUUGUUGCUUCUCUGCGUUUUUCUUCUCGCAUUCCGGCAAGGAAUGACCCUAAAAUGCUACGAAUGUGGCAGUGCGAGUGGAAUUAAUGCUGGGCAGCCGUCGUGUGGCGAUCCGUUCAACAAAAGCCAAGCAAGAAUCUGCGACGCUGAAGGAGUCGUUUGCAUGAAAACCAAGGUCCAAGGAUUAUUCACAGCAAGAAGUUGUGUGCCAAAAGGAACAACGUGCGAGCUAA